rnacentral:RNase_P_RNA from 1 species
GGAGUAGGACAAAUGACCGCUGCCUCGUCGUUCUGGUGAGGGAGAGGAAAGUCCGGGCUCCGCAGGACAAGGCGCUGGGUAACGCCCAGUCCCGGCAACGGGAAGGAAAGUGCCACAGAAAGGAGACCGCCCCCACGGCAGGCUGAGCGGCCUGCUGCGGGAGUAAGGGUGAAAGGGUGAGGUAAGAGCUCACCAGCUCCGCCGGUGACGGCGGGGGCUCGGUAAACCCCGCCUGGAGCAAGACCAAAUAGGGGAACGUCAGAGGGUGGUCCGCCCGAGUUCCCGGGUAGGUCGCUUGAUCCCGUUAGCAAUAGCGGGACUAGAUGAAUGGUCAUUGUCCCGAAUGCGGGUGACUGCUUCGGGAAACAGGACCCGGCUUACGGCCUGCUCUGACA